rnacentral:rRNA from 1 species
UCAAGCUAGAAAGAGCGCAAGGGGAAUGCCUUGGCAUCAGGAGCCGAUGAAGGACGUGACAAGCUGCGAUAAGCUGCGGUGAGCUGCACAUAAGCUUUGACCCGCAGAUCUCCGAAUGGGGAAACCCGGCAGAGCAAUACUCUGUCAGCGUGCGUUGAAUCAAAUAGGCGUACGCGGGGAACCGCCUGAACUGAAACAUCUAAGUAGGGCGAGGAAGAGAAAUCAACCGAGAUUCCGCUAGUAGUGGCGAGCGAACGCGGAAGAGGGCAAACCGGAGGAUUUAUCCUCCGGGGUUGUGGACAGUUUUUUAGCAACUGGAACUAGGAGAACGGUAUGGGAAGGCCGGCCAUAGCGGGUGAUAGCCCCGUAUCCGAAAGGGAAGGUUGUGCGACUGGAUCCAGAGUACCGCCGGACACGUGAAACCCGGUGGGAAGCUGGGGGGACCACCCUCCAACCCUAAAUACUACCUGAUGACCGAUAGAGGAGCAGUACCGUGAGGGAAAGGUGAAAAGGACCCCGGGAGGGGAGUGAAAGAGAACCUGAAACCUUGUGCUUACAAGCACUCAAAGCCCGUUAAAGGGUGAUGAGGUACCUUUUGUAGAAUGGUCCGGCGAGUUAUUGUUACUGGCAAGCUUAAGGCAUUCAGUGCCGGAGGCGAAGGGAGACCGAGUCUGAAUAGGGCGUAUGAAGUCAGUGGCAAUAGACCCGAAACCGGGUGACCUAUCCAUGGGCAGGUUGAAGUGGGGGUAAAACCCCAUGGAGGACCGAACGCACGCCCGUUGCAAUGGUCGGCGAUGACCUGUGGAUAGCGGUGAAAUUCCAAUCGAACGCGGAGAUAGCUGGUUCUCCCCGAAAUAGCUUUAGGGCUAGCGUUGGCUUAGAUUACCGGAGGUAAAGCACUGAAUGGGCUAGGGGCCGAUAAGGUUACUGAACCCUAUCAAACUCUGAAUGCCGGAUAAUUGAUGGCCAGCAGUCAGUCUACGUGAGAUAAGUCUCGUGGACAAAAGGGAAACAGCCCAGACCCACAGCUAAGGUCCCAAAGAUACGCUAAGUGGAAAACGAUGUGGAGUUGCGAAAACAACCAGGAUGUUGGCUUAGAAGCAGCCACUCAUUAAAAGAGUGCGUAAUAGCUCACUGGUCGAGUGACUCUGCGCGGAAAAUAUAACGGGGCUAAGCGUAACACCGAAGCUUGGGCUGCACAGCAAUGUGCGGGGUAGGGGAGCGUCGAAUAUGGGGUGAAGUCGCAGCGGAAGCAGCGGUGGACUGUAUUCGAGUGAGAAUGCCGGAAUGAGUAGCGAGAAUUAUGUGGGAAUCAUAAUGGCCGAAAAUCUAAGGUUUCCUGGGGAAGGUUCGUCCGCCCAGGGUAAGCCGGGAGCUAAGGCGAGGCCGGAAGGCGUAGUCGAUGCACAUACGGUUGAAAUUCCGUAGCCACCGAACCUUAAGUACACUGACACAUGGAGAUAGCGGGACCCGGGCGUUGGUUGACCCGGGCGUAAGGGACCGAACUUUAGUAGGGAAGUCCGCGAUGCUCUGUGGCGAGAAAAGGUGUAUGGUAUGCUAAGGUGCCCGUACCGCAAACCGACACAGGUAGAUGAGGAGAGAAUCCUAAGGCCAACGGGAGAAGGGUUGUUAAGGAACUCGGCAAAAUGACCCCGUAACUUCGGGAUAAGGGGAGCCUCCUACGGGAGGCCGCAGCGAAUAGGCCCAAGCGACUGUUUACCAAAAACACAGGUCUCUGCUAAAUCGAAAGAUGACGUAUAGGGGCUGACGCCUGCCCGGUGCUGGAAGGUUAAGAGGAGAUGUUAGCCGCAAGGCGAAGCAUUGAAUCGAAGCCCCAGUAAACGGCGGCCGUAACUAUAACGGUCCUAAGGUAGCGAAAUUCCUUGUCAGGUAAGUUCUGACCCGC